rnacentral:rRNA from 1 species
CAAUAGCGUAUAUUAACGUUGUUGCAGUUAAAAAGCUCGUAGUUGGAUUUCUGGAGGGAGCGUCGGCCCGUAUUUACGAGUGCGUGACGUCUCUGUCCAUCCUUGCGGGAAGGCACGGCAUUGAUUUGUUGUGUCGGAUCGCAUCAUUUACUGUGAAAAAAUUAGAGUGUUCAAAGCAGGCUUUCGCUUGAAUACAUUAGCAUGGAAUAAUAAGAUAGGACUUUGGUGCUAUUUUGUUGGUUGAGCCUAAAGUAAUGAUUAAUAGGGAUAGUUGGGGGCACCUGUAUUGCGUUGUCAGAGGUGAGAUUCUUGGAUUUACGCAAGACAAACAGCUGCGAAAGCGUCUGCCAAGGAUGUUUUCAUUA